rnacentral:lncRNA from 1 species
GUUACACUAGAAAUGCACGUCACCGCCAGGACUCCAUGUUUUUCUUUCUCUUUUUGAACGCAAACAAUAUCUCCCGGUUGGAAUAUUAUCGCUAUUUUACGAGAAAAAUAGCAUAAAAAUUGAUUUUAAGUGCGUGGGUGACUUUGAAAUGUCGGUCUAUCCGCCCGAUGUUUUGCUUGGAACAAAGCCCGCAGUCGCGUUUUCAUCUGCUGUUCAUAGCUUCUCUCUCAAGCCUUCCUGCAUGCUUGAGUCGCUGUUUGCUCCACCGACCAACAAACUAACCCUAAAACUAACCCUAAACCUAUUUCUAACCCUAACCAUAGAUCCCCUAGAAAUAGCAUUUGACCUUGUGAGGGCCAACAAAAUGUCCCCAAUUGGUCAAAUUUCUCUUGGUUUACUAUUCUGGUCCCCACAAGUAUAGUUAAACACUGAACACACACAUACACACACUGGAGACACACACACACUGGAGACACACACACACUGGAGACACACACACACUGGACACACAGACUGUAAAUUAAAAUGUUAAUUGUGUGUGUCCAAAUAACUGAGUAUGUGACUAACCUUGUGAAACUGUCAUGUUAUAAUCUUCUGUUCUUCUAAGUAUAAUUCUUUGUUGCUCCUGUGUCCUUGUAUAGAUAAAAAGGGAACUGAGAGUCAAACCAGCUGUCUCCUGUGUCCUUGUAUAGAUAAAAGGGGAAGGAAGAGUCAAACCAGCUGUCUCCUGUGUCCUUGUAUAGAUUUAAAGGGAAGUAAGAGUCAAACCAGCUGUCUCCUGUGUCCUUGUAUAGAUUUAAAGGGAAGUGAGAGUCAAACCAGCUGUCUCCUGUGUCCUUUGUAUAGAUAAAAAGGGAACUGAGAGUCAAACCAGCUGUCUCCUGUGUCCUUGUAUAGAUAAAAAGGGAACUGAGAGUCCUGCCCAAGAACAGAUCAAGAUAUAAAGAUAUGUGCUGAUCACCCAAUGCUUCUGAAUUCAGACUGUCUACGCUGUGGAACUCUGUUAUUCUCUCUGAGAUCACAAUGUUUCUGAAUUCAGACUGUCUACACUGUGGAACUCUGUUAUUCUCUCUGAGAUCACAAUGCUUCUGAAUUCAGACUGUCUACACUGUGCUGUUGAACUCUGUUAUUUCUCUGAGCUCAUAAAUAAACAAUCUGGGUUUGACUUGGACUCCAGCAGAUCCUCAAUUAUAUAUACCCACACACACACACACACACUCACACCUUGGACACAUACACACACACACAAACACUGGACACACACAUGCACAAAGUGAGCAUUUCUCCUUCCCCAAGAUAAUCCAUCCACCUGACAGGUGUGGCAUAUCAAGAAGCUGAUUAACAGCAUGAUCAUUACAAAGGUCUCUCUAAAAUGUGUAGUUUUGUCAUAUAAAAACCUCAGACCACUUGUAUGGCAUCAUGUGGGUGAGAGGUUUGCUGAUGUCAACAUUGUGAACAGCCCCAUGGUGGAGGUGAGGUUAUGGUUCAACAUUGUGAACAGCCCCAUGGUGGUGGUGGGGUUAUGGUUCAACAUUGUGAACAGCCCCAUGGUGGAGGUGAGGUUAUGGUAUGGACAUUGUGAACAGCCCCAUGGUGGAGGUGAGGUUAUGGUUCAACAUUGUGAACAGCCCCAUGGUGGUGGUGAGGUUAUGGUUCAACAUUGUGAACAGCCCCAUGGUGGUGGUGAGGUUAUGGUAUGGCCAUUGUGAACAGCCCCAUGGUGGAGGUGAGGUUAUGGUUCAACAUUGUGAACAGCCCCAUGGUGGAGGUGGUGUUAUGGUUCAAUAUUGUGAACAGCCCCAUGGUGGUGGUGAGGUUAUGGUAUGGGCAGGCAUAAGCCACAGACCAUGAACUCAAGUGCAUUUUAUCGAUGGAAAUCUGAAUGCACAGAGAUACCGUGAUGAGAUCCCAUUGUCAUGCCAUUCAUCCUCACCCAUCACCUCAUGUUUCAGCAUGAUAAUGCACGGCCUGAUGUCGCAAGGAUCUGAACACAAUUCCUGGAAGCUGAAAAAAAAACUGUUCUUCCAUGGCCUGAGUACUCACCAGACAUGUCACCCAUUGAGCAUGUUUGGGAUGCUCUGGAUAUACGUGUACGAUAGCGUGAGAUUCGUAUCUGUAUUCCCAGUCAUGUGAAAUCUGUAGAUUAGGAUCUAAUUAAUGUAUUUCAACUGACUUAUUUCCUUAUAUGAACUGUAACUGUAACUCACUUGCAUUUUGGGUUUAUAUUUUUGUUCAGUAUAAUAAAAAGAUCAGUUGUAAAUGUUUUAUGUUUGAUAUGAUGUUAGUAACACUAAGUCAUUCCAUCCUUUCACUAAAUGGUAGUAACACUAAGUCAUUCCAUCCUUUCACUAAAGCUCUAAAGUAACUUUUAAUUGACAGAUGCCUCAUUUAUAUGUUGUGGAUGUUGAUGAAAGGAAAUCCCAUAUAGGCUACUGACCAGGACUUUGUUAUGGCAUCUUCUGUUUGGGAGUCUCAGGUCAGGUCAGAGCCAUGAUCAGAAUGUGUCUCUGUCUAUUUCCAGCCCUGACAUUUCUACCUGUCCUGAUCUAGUGUUUGACCCCUGACCUCCUCACACCGUCUCACUGUCCAUGUCUGCUUUUAGCUCCCACCUCUACUUCACUGUGUUAUAAUGGACCUUAUGGUUGUUAUGUCACCUCUGUAACCAGCUAUCAAACAUACUGACCUUUCUGACCCUAUCCCACCUCUACUUCACUGUGUUAUAAUGGACCUUAUGGUUGUUAUGUCACCUCUGUAACCAGGUAUCAAACAUACUGACCUUUCUGACCCUAUCCCAUGGCCCUACUUUCUAGAACUAAACAUUUAAUGUCCUCUGAGUUUUGCUUACUGUCCAUUUACUUAUGUAUUAUGUAUUUGUUGUAUAUUGGGGUUGUGCCUCAGAGCAUCAUGGGGGUUUGCAUGUGUUGAGAUGAUCACGUUCCAGAUAAAUGGUUGAUC